CGCGGAAGCUACGUGCCCGUGCGGAAUUUGCAGAGCUGCGAAGGUGGGCAUCGGCCAUUGGUCGGGCACCACCUUCGCCAAAAACGGCAGCGAUGGACUUCCCUCCGGUUCUCGUCGUCCUAUCCCGAAGUUCACCUGCGAGAAGUCGAACUCCUCCCGUGGAGAGCAGAGAGCAGCUGUAAGGCAGCAGAGGCAUGGCGGAUCCUGGAGCGAGCCUUCCCUCUUCUUCUCUUGACGGUGGUAAGAAGGACUACUCCACUGCCAUUCUGGAGCGUAAGAAGUCUCCUAAUCGUCUGAUUGUGGAUGAAGCGAUCAAUGAUGACAAUUCUGUCGUUUCCAUGCACCCUUCCACGAUGGAGAAGCUUCAGUUAUUCAGAGGAGAUACAGUUUUGCUUAAGGGCAAGAAGAGGAGAGACACAGUUUGUGUUGUGCUUGCUGAUGAACAAUGCGAAGAACCAAAAAUUCGGAUGAACAAAGUUGUUCGGGCUAACCUCAAGGUGCGCCUUGGAGACAUCAUAUCUGUACAUCAAUGUCCUGAUGUAAAGUAUGGAAGGAAGAUUCAUAUUCUUCCGAUCGAUGAUACCAUUGAGGGAGUGACUGGCAACUUGUUUGAUGCAUUUUUGAAGCCCUAUUUCUUGGAAUCUUAUCGCCCUGUGAGGAAAGGUGAUCUUUUCCUUGUUAGAGGUGGUAUGAGAAGUGUUGAAUUUAAGGUAAUAGAGACGGACCCUGGCGAAUACUGUAUUGUUGCACCAGAUACUGAGAUCUUCUGUGAAGGAGAGCCCAUCAAACGGGAGGAAGAGGAGAGACUGACUGAAGUGGGCUACGACGAUGUUGGUGGAGUGAGGAAACAAAUGGCUCAGAUACGUGAGCUUGUAGAACUUCCUCUUAGACAUCCACAGCUGUUCAAGUCCAUUGGAGUGAAACCCCCCAAGGGUAUCUUGCUUUAUGGGCCACCUGGAUCUGGAAAAACAUUGAUUGCAAGAGCUGUAGCUAAUGAAACUGGUGCAUUCUUCUUCUUAAUCAAUGGACCUGAAAUUAUGUCAAAACUAGCUGGUGAGAGUGAAAGCAAUUUGAGGAAGGCUUUUGAGGAAGCUGAAAAGAAUGCUCCAGCAAUCAUUUUUAUUGAUGAACUAGACUCCAUUGCGCCAAAGAGGGAAAAAACACAUGGUGAAGUCGAAAGGCGGAUUGUUUCUCAACUUCUGACCCUGAUGGAUGGUCUUAAGAGCAGGGCACAUGUGAUUGUCAUUGGAGCUACCAAUAGACCCAAUAGCAUUGACCCUGCUUUGAGAAGAUUCGGAAGAUUUGAUCGGGAAAUUGAUAUUGGUGUACCAGAUGAGGUUGGGAGGUUGGAAAUUCUCAGAAUCCAUACAAAGAACAUGAAGCUUGCGGAUGACGUUGAUCUAGAAAGAGUGGCAAAAGAUACCCAUGGUUAUGUUGGUGCCGAUCUUGCUGCUCUUUGCACUGAGGCUGCUCUUCAAUGUAUCCGUGAGAAAAUGGAUGUGAUUGAUCUGGAGGACGAAACCAUUGAUGCUGAAGUUCUGAACUCGAUGGCUGUGACAAAUGAACACUUCAAAACUGCUCUGGUAGCUUCCAAUCCUUCAGCCUUGCGAGAGACGGUUGUGGAAGUUCCAAAUGUCUCCUGGGAUGAUAUUGGUGGUCUGGAUAAUGUCAAAAGAGAACUUCAAGAGACUGUCCAAUACCCAGUGGAGCAUCCUGAGAAAUUUGAGAAAUUUGGCAUGUCGCCUUCGAAGGGUGUUCUCUUUUAUGGUCCACCUGGUUGUGGAAAGACACUUCUAGCAAAAGCAAUUGCUAAUGAAUGCCAGGCAAAUUUUAUCAGUGUUAAAGGUCCCGAACUGCUGACAAUGUGGUUUGGAGAAAGUGAAGCAAAUGUGAGAGAGAUUUUUGACAAGGCGAGGCAAUCUGCUCCUUGUGUUCUUUUCUUUGAUGAACUUGAUUCCAUUGCAACUCAGCGUGGAAGCUCUACUGGUGAUGCUGGUGGUGCUGCAGAUAGGGUUCUGAAUCAGCUUCUAACAGAAAUGGAUGGAAUGACAGCGAAAAAAACAGUAUUCAUUAUAGGGGCAACAAAUAGGCCAGAUAUCAUUGACCCAGCAUUGCUCAGACCUGGACGAUUGGACCAAUUAAUUUAUAUUCCUCUGCCUGAUGAGGCUUCUCGUCUCCAGAUUUUCAAAGCAUGCUUGAGGAAGUCCCCUGUCUCUAGAGAUGUCGACUUGGCAGCUCUUGCCCGUUAUACUCACGGUUUCAGUGGUGCCGAUAUCAUAGAAAUAUGUCAGCGUGCUUGCAAGUAUGCUAUUAGGGAAAAUAUCGAGAAGGAUAUCGAAAGAGAGAGACGGGAGAGAGAGAACCCUGAAGCAAUGGAGGAGGAUAUUGCCGACGAUGUUUCUGAAAUUAAGGCAGCACACUUUGAGGAGUCGAUGAAAUAUGCGCGUCGAAGUGUCAGUGAUGCGGACAUCAGGAAAUACCAACUCUUUGCUCAGACUCUGCAGCAAUCCCGUGGUUUUGGAUCCGAGUUCCGGUUCCCUGACCGUCCUGAGAAUGCCGCUGCAGGACGAGCUUUCGACCCCUUUGCUUCUGCCAAUGCUGCUGGAGAUGAUGAUGAUCUGUACAGCUGAGCUUUAGACAAAUGCAAGUACCUGCUGCUCCAGUUUCUCCAGUUGUAAAACUUGCGGGUUUUUUCUUCCUCCUGGUAUGUGGGCAGAGCUACUUCUUAUGCGCCAUGUCAGUGUGCACCCUCUUUCAUGAUAAACUAGGAGCACGGAUCUGAGGCCUCGCAUGGCAUCUAUAACAGUGAGUAAUACGUACUUUUUUCGCUUUUUUUUUUCAGAACUGGGGUUGCUAAUCUGUGUCAUGGAUUGUAACUCUUGGCGGGUUUAUAUUUUUCUUAAAUGUAAAUAGUAAGUGCAUGGGAGGUUUUUCCUUCCCUUAACCAUGUAGCCUGUGACCAACACUUGGAAAAGGUGUGGCUUUUCUUUCUUUCUGUAUAAUAAAUAAAGUGGCCCUUUUGCCAAAGGGAAUGCGGCGAGAAACAGGGCUUUAUGGUA